rnacentral:lncRNA from 1 species
AACACACACAGACUUGGAAAGACCUACAAAUUAAAAGGUACCCAGAGGGAAUAACUUAGAGACUGUAGAUAUGGUUCAGUGAAUCAGCCAGGCAAGAGGACUGGCUGCCAGUAAUUCCAGGGGACGGAAAGAUCCCCUUGGCAAGUUGGCUAGUGAGACUAGCCAGAAUUGGAGACCUUUAGGGUUAAAGAGAGACCCUGCCUCCAAGUGUUUUCUAGCAGAAAACAUUAAGCUCUUAUGAAGAAUUCUUCAGGCUUCCUUGGGUCCAGUUUGUUACUGAAAAGGAGCCAUGUUAAGACUUCACGAUCCUCCUUGUAUUCCUGGUUCCUACCCCUCCCCAACACCUUGACUCCAGCAAUUCGUUAUGGAUGGACAUCGUCUUAAUAGGGGACAGCCUUCCUGGCAACAUCCCUUGCAGGGGUCUUCUGGACAUCACUGGGUUCCAGGGUCUGACUCGCUAUUUUCUCUGCUUGGGAUGCUCUCAUCCCAAUCUUUACAUACAGCUCUCUUCAGAGAGAGCUGGCUAGUCAGACUAGCAGAAACUAGAGUUCUGGCUUCAGAAGGAGACCCUGCCUCAAUAUACAAAGGGAAGAGCCAUUGAAGAAUUCACCCAUUAUCGCUCGCUCUCUGGUUUCUACAUCCACAAUGCUCCCCAUACAUUAAAAAAAUAAAAUAGAAUUGAUUACCUUUUACUGUG